rnacentral:sRNA from 1 species
GAUUAUAGACAGGUGAGCAGAAGUCCUGGGCUUAGUCCCCAUGUCUCCAGCCCUGGCCUCCUUGUCUGAGCGCCCCCAUCCUGUCCCUCUCCCACAGAUGAUCAUCGAGCCCACCAGCCCUUGCCUUCUCCCAGACCCUCUGCAGGAACCGUACUACCAGCCACCCUACACGCUCGUUUUGGAGCUCACCGGCGUCCUCUUGCAUCCUGAGUGGUCGGUGUGUCCCGGGAAAGGCAGUGGGUUGGGGAUAGACCUGGGCAGUGGGGUUGUGAUGAGGUGGACUUUCAGCCCUGGCUGUGCUAUGUGAUCUUGGGGAGGAGAUGUCACCUAUCAUUGCCUCGCUUUCUUCAGCUGGGAGAAGGCAGUCAUGCUAACACCCACUCUGUAGGGUGGUGUAGGUGUGCCCAGGCACGCUGUAAGUGCCACAAAGGAGCCAGACCCUCAGUCACAGCCCAUGUACUACUUGAACUCCAAGAGCCACAAAGACAGACGGAGAGAACUCUGUUCUGGGAAUCCCCCAGGCUGGAUCUUUGUCCUCUUGGGGACUCUGAGGGCCUCUGGGUCUUGGUGUUUCACUGUCCUCACUGUCUUCCCAGCUGGCCACUGGCUGGAGGUUUAAGAAGCGCCCAGGCAUCGAGACCUUGUUCCAGCAGCUUGCCCCUUUAUAUGAAAUUGUCAUCUUUACGUCAGAGACUGGCAUGACUGCGUUUCCACUCAUUGAUAGUGUGGACCCCCACGGCUUCAUCUCCUACCGCCUAUUCCGGGACGCCACGAGAUACAUGGAUGGACACCAUGUUAAGGAUAUUUCAUGUCUGAAUCGGGACCCAGCUCGAGUAGUAGUUGUGGACUGCAAGAAGGAAGCCUUCCGCCUGCAGCCGUAUAAUGGUGUCGCCCUGCGGCCCUGGGACGGCAACUCUGAUGACCGGGUCUUGUUGGAUCUGUCUGCCUUCCUCAAGACCAUUGCACUGAAUGGUGUGGAGGACGUGCGAACCGUGCUGGAGCACUACGCCCUGGAGGAUGACCCACUGGCGGCUUUCAAACAGCGGCAAAGCCGGCUAGAGCAGGAGGAGCAGCAGCGCCUGGCCGAGCUCUCCAAGUCCAACAAGCAGAACCUCUUCCUCGGCUCCCUCACCAGCCGCCUGUGGCCUCGCUCCAAACAGCCCUGAACUCUGGGCCUCCUCAAACUCAGUGCCUGGGUCCAGGACCCCAGUGCUUCCAGACCAAGACUUGGGCCACCACUUGUCCAAUAAAGUACAUCCCAGACGCCACACCUGCUGUGUCCCGAGAGUCUCCAGAUGGGGGCAUCAGGGUGAGGUCCGGGACUCUUGGGUCAUUGUCCCACAGUGGCUGAUCGGCUGCCAGGCACAGUGGGGGUGCUUUGUUGGAUCAGAGCGGAUUUUUCACCCUGGUCUCCGAAUCUAAAAACCCUCGCUGUGUCUUCCUGUGUGUUGUGUGAUCUGUAAAAAAUACAUCUCCCUCUGACCACAGACUGCCCAUGUGUGGUGAAGGGAAGAGAGGAUGGCACUUGCCUUUAAAGACAGGUAGCUGCCAGGCUACUGUGGAGAGAAUGUGUUAUGGGCCCAGUGGGGCUCUGGUGGACCAGAGAUUACCCCUCUCAACAGGCCAGCUGCUGGUUGGCUCCAGCCAGUGUGUCCCUGGGGUAAAGGGGGCCUGGAGUUGCUUGACACACCAGUUGUUCAAAAGAAGCAAGAACUUGGGGAAUUUUUUUUUUUUUUUUUUUUUGAGACAGGGUCUCACUGUUGCCCAGGCUGGAGUGCAGUGAUGUGAUCUUAGCUUACUGCAGCCGUGACCUCCCGGCUCAAGUGAUCUCCAAGUGACCCUCCUGCCUCAGCCUCCUGAGUACCCUUCUGGGGACUACAGGUGCGUGCUACCAUACCCAGCUAAUUUAAACAAAUUUUUUUUUUUGUAGAGCUGGGGUCUUGGUGCCUAAGCUGGUCUCAAACUCCUAGUCUCAAGCAGUCUUCCUGCUUUGGCCUCCCAAAGCGCUAGGAUUACAGGUGUGAGCUACUGUGCCCAGCUAAAAUAGCGGUUUUUAUAUUAAAUCUCCCUAUUUUAAAAUGUUGGCUCCUAGCGGGGUGUAGUGGCUCACGCCUAUAAUCCCAGCACUUUGGGAGGCUGAGGCGGGCGGAUCACCUGAGGUCAGGAGUGCGAGACCAGCCUCAACAUGGAGAAACCCCAUCUCUACUAAAAAUACAAAAUUAGCCGGGUGUGGUGGAGCAUGCCUGUAAUCCCAGCUACUCGGGAGGCUGAGGCAGGAGAAUUGCUUGAACCUGGGAGGCGGAGGUUGUGGUGAGCUGAGAUCGCGCCAUUGCACUCCAGCCUGGGCAACAACAGCGAAACUCCAUCUCAAAAAAUAAAAUAAAAAAAUAAAUGUUGGCUUUUAACUAAAACAGGCAGAUAUGUAGCAGUGUUCUCCACUGGAACUUUCUGUGAUGUUUGGUUCAUGUUCUAGGUCUGUACUGUCCAGUACAGUAGCCAGUGGCCACAUAAAGUUUUUUUUUUUUUUUUUUUUUUUUUUUUUUUUUUUUUUUUUUUUUGAGACAGAGUUUCGCUCUUAUUUCCCAGGCUGGAGUGCAAUGGCACG